rnacentral:rRNA from 1 species
ACCUUAGUAACGGCGAGUGAAGCGGUAAAAGCUCAAAUUUGAAAUCUGGUACUUUCAGUGCCCGAGUUGUAAUUUGUAGAAUUUGUCUUUGAUUAGGUCCUUGUCUAUGUUCCUUGGAACAGGACGUCAUAGAGGGUGAGAAUCCCGUUUGGCGAGGAUACCUUUUCUCUGUAAGACUUUUUCGAAGAGUCGAGUUGUUUGGGAAUGCAGCUCAAAGUGGGUGGUAAAUUCCAUCUAAAGCUAAAUAUUGGCGAGAGACCGAUAGCGAACAAGUACAGUGAUGGAAAGAUGAAAAGAACUUUGAAAAGAGAGUGAAAAAGUACGUGAAAUUGUUGAAAGGGAAGGGCAUUUGAUCAGACAUGGUGUUUUUUGCAUGCACUCGCCUCUCGUGGGCUUGGGCCUCUCAAAAAUUUCACUGGGCCAACAUCAAUUCUGGCAGCAGGAUAAAUCAUUAAGAAUGUAGCUACUUCGGUAGUGUUAUAGCUUUUUGGAAUACUGUUAGCCGGGAUUGAGGACUGCGCUUCGGCAAGGAUGUUGGCAUAA